rnacentral:rRNA from 1 species
UACGAAGGGGGCUAGCGUUGCUCGGAAUCACUGGGCGUAAAGGGCGCGUAGGCGGGUCUUUAAGUUCGAUGUGAAAGCCCCGGGCUCAACCUGGGAAUGGCAUUGGAAACUGGCGGACUCGAGUGUGGCAGAGGGGGGUGGAAUUCCGCGUGUAGCAGUGAAAUGCGUAGAGAUGCGGAGGAACACCGAUGGCGAAGGCAGCCCCCUGGGUUAACACUGACGCUCAGGCACGAAAGCGUGGGGAGCAAACAGG